rfam:Hyaloperonospora arabidopsidis Emoy2 Contig0.30, whole genome shotgun sequence.
CGAAAUUUCCCUCAGGAUAGCAGCAACUCAUUUACGAUAGUUUUAUGAGGUAAAGCGAAUGAUUAGAGGAUUCGGGGAAGAAACUUUCUCGACCUAUUCUCAAACCUUAAAUCUGUAGGCCUGCAGGUUUCUUAAUUGAACUUGUGGAUGUAAAUAUCAAGUUGUUAGUGGACCAUACGGGGUAAGCUCGUCUGGCGAUGCGGGAUAAACCGAACGCAAAGUUAAAGUGCCAAAAUACUCGCUCACCUAGAUACCAUUUUCAGGAAUAGUUCAUUCGGCAGGUGAGUUGUUACACACUCCUUAGCGGAUUCCGACUUCCAUGGCCACCGUCCUGCUG